UUUACCACCGGGCUCUGGU
rnacentral:misc_RNA from 1 species